CCUCUUCGAUCUGUUGUGGGCAGAUGAAGUGGAUAUGGGUGUCGAUACCGCCAGCCGUGAGGAUCAUGCCUUCGCCGGCGAUCACUUCAGUACUUGCGCCGAUGGCGAUGGUCACGCCGGGCUGGAUAUCCGGGUUGCCGGCUUUGCCGAUGGCGUGGAUCCGGCCGUUUUUCAGGCCCACGUCGGCUUUGACGAUGCCCCAGUGAUCGAUGAUCAGGGCGUUGGUAAUCAGCGUGUCCACCACCUCGCUGGCGAGCAACUGGCUUUGGCCCAUGCCGUCGCGG
rnacentral:sRNA from 1 species